rnacentral:rRNA from 1 species
AACGAACGCUGGCGGCAUGCCUAACACAUGCAAGUCGAACGAGACCUUCGGGUCUAGUGGCGCACGGGUGCGUAACGCGUGGGAACCUGCCUUUAGGUUCGGAAUAACUCCCCGAAUGGGGUGCUAAUACCGGAUAUUGUCUUCGGACCAAAGAUUUAUCGCCUUUGGAUGGGCUCGCGUUGGAUUAGCUAGUUGGUAGGGUAAAAGCCUACCAAGGCGACGAUCCAUAGCUGGUCUGAGAGGAUGAUCAGCCACACUGGGACUGAGACACGGCCCAGACUCCUACGGGAGGCAGCAGUGGGGAAUAUUGGACAAUGGGCGAAAGCCUGAUCCAGCAAUGCCGCGUGAGUGAUGAAGGCCUUAGGGUUGUAAAGCUCUUUUACCCGGGAUGAUAAUGACAGUACCGGGAGAAUAAGCUCCGGCUAACUCCGUG